rnacentral:tRNA from 1 species
GUUAAGGUGGCAGAGCCUGGUUACUGCGCAAGGUCUAAGCCCUUCUUACAGAGGUUCAAGUCCUCUUUUUAACU